UACGUAGGGGCCUAGCGUUGUCCGGAUUUAUUGGGCGUAAAGAGCUCGUAGGCGGUUCAGUAAGUCUGCUGUGAAAUCUCCACGCUCAACGUGGAGGGGUCAGUCGAAACUGCUGUGACUCGAGUCCGGUAGAGGAAUGUGGAAUUCCCGGUGUAGCGGUGAAAUGCGCAGAGAUCGGGAGGAACACCCGUAGCGAAGGCGGCAUUCUGGGCCGGUACUGACGCUGAGGAGCGAAAGCGUGGGGAGCAAACAGG
rnacentral:rRNA from 1 species